CCAAACUUGGUCAUUUAGAGGAAGUAAAAGUCGUAACAAGGUUUCCGUAGGUGAACCUGCGGAAGGAUCAUUAAUGAGGACAAUAACGACAAUUUAUUCCGCCAGGAAUAAAUUGAAGUUAAUUAUUACCUUCCAAACCCUAUGAUUAUAUAAUAUAUGUUGCUUUGGUUAAUGAGAGUAAUGAUCUGUUAACCAAAAGCCCUUAAUUAAAACUCUUAAUAUGAAAUUUAUCUGAGUCUUUAUAAAAUUAUCAAAUUUUAAUUAAAACUUUCAACAACGGAUCUCUUGGUUCUGGCAUCGAUGAAGAACGCAGC
rnacentral:misc_RNA from 1 species